UGAGACGAUGGCUUAAAUUGGUAGAGCGGGUGGUAACGACAUCGCGUUGCAGGUUCGAGUCCUGCCGUCUUAGC
rnacentral:tRNA from 1 species